UCUACACCAGCCUACAGAGCGAGCACCUUCC
rnacentral:piRNA from 1 species